rnacentral:tRNA from 1 species
ACCAAAGGUUAAUAGUAUUCCACUGGUCUUAGGC